UACGGAAGGGGGCUAGCGUUGCUCGGAAUCACUGGGCGUAAAGCGCACGUAGGCGGGUCGUUAAGUCGGGGGUGAAAUCCUGGAGCUCAACUCCAGAACUGCCUUCGAUACUGGCGAUCUUGAGUCUGGGAGAGGUGAGUGGAACUCCGAGUGUAGAGGUGAAAUUCGUAGAUAUUCGGAAGAACACCAGUGGCGAAGGCGGCUCACUGGCCCGGUACUGACGCUGAGGUGCGAAAGCGUGGGGAGCAAACAGG
rnacentral:rRNA from 1 species